rnacentral:rRNA from 1 species
UGGGUAGGUGGUCUCGUCUGUCUUAGGUGAAAUCCCCGGGCUUAACUUGGGAAGUGCCUCAGAAACGGCGAGACUGGAGUACCGAAGAGGGUCGUGGAAUUCCCGGUGUAGCGGUGAAAUGCGUAGAGAUCGGGAGGAACACCAGAUGCGAAAGCGGCGACCUGGUCGGUGACUGACACUAAACCACGAAAGCGUGGGGAGCAAACA